UCACGGCGGGGCCGCGGGCCGGGCAGCGCGGCGGGCGGGACCAGGGGCGGUGGGAAUCGAGCGGAGGAGGAGCGGUGGAAAUAGAGGGGAGGAGGCUCCCACUCCCCGGAAAGGCUCGGGGUAAGGCCAUGGCCGUACAACAUGCUUGCGCCCACGGAGGAGGUUGCUCCAGGAAGGGCAAAUGGUUGGUGAAGGCUGCAGUUUCGGGGAGCUGAUUUUUCGUCCUGAAAAGGGGACUUAUGAUGUCUGUGGUACAUCGUCUGGCAGUGGGAUGGCUUGUGGAUCAUCUCUCUUUCAUCAACCAGUGUGGCUAUGAGAUCUGUGACUCCUUUGCACACCCUGGGGGUGUCACUCACAAUGCUUCUGUCAUAUCUACUGAAGACUGUCACAGUAUUUCUGCUUUUGCUGCCACCCACUCAUCAAGUGACGGUCCUUCUUAUGGUCCUGGAAAUGCCGUAGAAACAGAAGGUAAAAGAGCAAAAAUGAGAUAUGUGUUUCGGGAGGAGUUCUUUGAUGUUUCUAAGCCCCAUAUAGCCGUAGCUCCUGAGGAGCAGCUGUGUCAGGGAUGCCCUGAGAUGACUCUGACAGAAAUAAAGGCCAACAGCAACAGAGAGGAAUACCAAGAAGGAACAAAGAGUGACACUGGAGAUUCUCUUGCCACUGCUAGGAAGAAACGUAAAAGGAAAUGUGUAUUCAACCAAGGUGAACUGGAUGCUUUGGAAUACCAUUCAAAGAUCAGGAAGCUCAUUUGGGAAGGGACUUUGCAUUUAGUCCGAGAGGGACUCAAAAGUGGUUUUCUUCACCGUACGACUGCAAAACUCAAUUGCAGGAAGAAUAAUGUUCCUCAGCGCAUUGUCUGUGGGUUGGCUGAAUUAUGUGAAAUGGCAAAGCAGUUUCCAGCUGUGAAUGAAAGUGACCAUCAAGCUGUACGUGUGCUAGAGGAGGAAACCUCCAGUGCAGAGCAGGACCUGCUUUCGUGUGUCAUGGAAAACAGCUCAGACUGUGCAAAGAUAAUUGUGUUAAUGGGGCAGAAAUACUUGGUGCCACCAAGAAGCAGUUUUCUCUUAUCUGAUAUUUCAUGUUUACAGCCCCUGCUGAACUACAAGAAAAAAUAUGAUGUAAUUGUGAUUGAUCCACCAUGGGAGAACAAGUCUGUUAAAAGGAGCAACAGGUACAGCUACUUGUCUUCAUGGCAAAUCAAGCAGAUUCCUGUACCAGCACUGGCUGCUCCAAAUUGUCUUGUAGUCACAUGGGUGACUAAUAGACAGAAGCACUUACGUUUUGUUAAGGAUGAACUUUAUCCUCACUGGUCAGUGAAAACACUUGCCGAGUGGCACUGGGUAAAAAUUACUACAGCUGGAGAAUUUGUGUUGCCUUUGGAUUCUUUGCACAAAAAACCAUAUGAAGUUCUCAUAUUGGGGAGAGUUCAAGAAGAUGUAAAGGAAGCCUUAAGGAAAUCUGAAGGUGUUCUCCCAAUUCCAGAGCAUCAGUUAAUUGUCAGCAUACCCUGCAGUCUGCAUUCACAUAAGCCUCCUCUUGCUGCAGUUCUGGCAGAGUUUAUCAAGCCAGAUGUGGAAUGCUUGGAGUUGUUUGCUCGCAAUCUUCAGCCUGGUUGGACCAGCUGGGGAAAUGAGGUCUUGAAGUUUCAGCACAUUGAUUAUUUCACUCUUCUGCAGAAUGACAACUGAGCAUGGUCUUACGCAUCUAUACCUUCUGAAAUUCCACAUCUUCCCAGGGGGCUCUUGAACUUAGCUUUAUUACUGAUGGUGCACCUAAAGGAGAUGAAUGCUACUCUGCCUUGAUAAUUGCAUUCAUUAGCCUCAACACACCAAUAAAAACUUGCCUACUGCUUAUUUUGGAUUGGACAUAAGAGGAGGAGAAUGGUAGAUGGUUGGAGAAUAGCCAAGGCAUAUGAGGUAUGUUCCAGUUGCUGAAAGAAGUCUUGUGGUGUCCAAGCUGGCAGGUUUUUUCAUAGAAUCAUAGAAUAGUUUGAUUUGGAAAGGACCUUUACAGGUCAUCUAGUCCAACUUCCCUGCAAUGAGCAGGGACAUCUUUGUCUGGAUCAGGUUGCCAAGAGCCCUAUACGCAGCCCCUGCCUGACCUUCAGUGUUUCCAUGGCUGGGUCUGCCAGUUUUUUGUGGAGAGAAUUGUGUAUGUGCAUGUGUGUAUGCAGGCAAAGCUGACCUGUUGGAGUAGUGUGAAUCCCUGGUAUCCAGUGCUUUGAAUAACAACGAUAUGUGCAUUGCUAGAAAUUUAAAAUCACCAUAUUUUCACUUGUCAGUGUCCUAACGUUACCAAUUUGUGGGGAAAAUGUACUAUUUAUUUGGAUAGAGAUGUUCCAAUACCAUACAUGGUUUGAAAGCUUGCCUUGGGCCUGUUUAUUAGGUAUAUUUUUGCUAUGUAAUCUUCUGGAAGCAUAACAUUGACAGUGAAAAAACACAAGUGAACAGCAUAGCAGCUCCCAUGGUGUUCCCAUGACCAUGGCCACAUCUCAGAAGCAUGGGAAGCCUGCAGGGGGUUGGGCAGGUGCAUGGUUCUGUGGGUUCUUUGGCAGCUUCCAUGUGCCUUGACAUCACUAAAAUGACAUCAGAGCUGCUCUAAUAAGGCUGGGUCACUUUGCUGGGCCUAGCUAUGAGGACUUUUCUUCCUGGCAUAAAGGAGUUGAGGUUAUCACCUUGUCAGGGUUGUUCUUCAAGUAAACUGAAAAUUUUCUAAAGAAAGUUGCUUUUUACUUGCAAACAUUCUUAUUCAAUGUGCUGAACUGUUGGUGUGCUGCAGGGCCUGGGCUUUCAGCUCUGGGUCUGAGCCUGCCACACGGGCUGUUUUGGGGUUAGAGAGUUACGAGCCAUGCUCUCAGGGCUGACAUUCAAAAUUCCUCUGGUCUCAAGACAUCCAGGCAUUCUUGGAAGUACUCUGGCUGCCAAACUGCAGGCAGAGCUCUGUAGCGGUCCUCCCUUCUGGCUUUUUGGCUUUUUAGCUACCUGUCUUAUGAAAAGAAGGGCUGGGAGGCACUGUUGACACUGGGGUCUUGACACUGAAAUCACAGUGCCUUCUUAAGAAAUGGAUUAUCUUUUAUAUUUUCCCUGUGAUGAGAAAAUCUCAAAUUUCCUUUAUUUGUUUCAGACCAUUUUUGUAUUUCAGUCAGUAGUUUGCAUUUAUUUACAACAAAGUUUGACUUUCCAUAAGCUCUAGUUUUUGCUGCUUAGUUCUUCCUUCUUCCUUCUCUAUUUCUCAACUGGUUUUCUUCAAUCUAAUAUUCAUUUGCACAUUAGUAACUUUAUUUUGUUAAAUAUUUUUUUACUGGAAGUGCCUUUAGAUUUCUUUUAACUGUUGGGAAGGCUUGUCUGUAAAAUUGCAUGGUUUGAAGUUGUUUGUUGCCUGUUUCCACAAACCGCUGUAGAUAACAGUGUGGCAUGGAUUGGAAACAUGAAUCCCAUAUGGCAUGGGAUUGGAAACAAGAACACCACAUCUGGUGAUUAGGGAGGAAUGAGGAGCUACUUAGUAAAUGUAGGCUGGAGGAUGGGAACUUGUGGCAAUAGCAAAAUUUGCUGCUGACACAAGAACAUAAAAUGUGCAAGCCACAUGAGAGAAAGGUGUGAGUUCUCUGUUGUGUUGCCUAACUUGUAAGUAAAAAAAAUAAUUAGGACAACAGUACCAUAGCAGGACUACUUUCCACAAGGGAAUUUUAUUUAUCAGUUCUCUGGUGCUACCUGUUUGAUAACAAAACAACAAAGUAAGGCCUCAUUUGAUGAUCUUUAUGUAAAUGGUAGCCUUGACAGAAUACAGGAGGCUUUUUUCAGAUCAGCUAGGUAGAUAUUACUCAUGGUUAAAAUACUGUAGUAGCAGUGGUCUCCGCCAGGGAAUGAUGAGCAUUGACUCCAUGACUGCAGAAGGCUGAUCCAUCACUUUAUUCUUGCUACACCAUCCUAUACUAUAUGAAAAACACAUCACCCUUGCCAUACAGUCCGAUACAGCUUUGACCUAAUUGGUCAGUCAAUCAAAACACCAUCACCAGUGUCCAAUUAAGAAAUCACUCUUUGGUAAACAAUCUCCAUAACACAUUCCACAUGUGCACAACAACAGGUGCAGCAAGUAGCCAUAAGAAUUGUUUUCUCUGAGCCUUCUCACAGCUUCCCAGGAAAAUCCUGGGAGAGAAUUACAUCUCUCUUUGUUCAGAGGAUAUGUGAUUACCACAAAAAACUACUGCUAAAUGCUGUGAAGGCAAAUAUUUGAGUAAGAUUUUUCCCCACUAUUGCUCAUUAUGCAGUGGCAUGUCUUCCUUUUCCCCAUGUCAGUAAGUAAAUUGUGUUAAAGUAAAAUAGCUGUAUUGCUUAUCACUAGUUGGAAUGUCGGGCACUCGUAUUCAGUUUUCCUUUUCUUGUGUAAAACCCAAACAAUAAAUUCUGCUGAGGGAGAAGGAGGUCAGACAUUCUCAUUUUUGUCUGUAAUAUUGCCUCCAUUUGCUUCAGAUUGUGGAACCUACAGUCCUUUAAGCACCUGGGAUUGGUGGAAUACUCACUUUGGGAUGUCUUAGAUCUCUUUUUUCCCUUCUGUGUCCUUCCUUAAAGGGUAUUUCUGUAACAUACAGUUUUGAGAUGAGAAAAUGAGUUAUGUAUGAGAAAAUGAGGGUCUGUAAAGAGGAGAAAACAAAGUGGAAAACAGUGCCCAAAAAGCAGUGGAAUAAUGAGGAUUGUACACUUCUCAACUAGUGCCACUGCAGUGCUCAUGGUUCUCUAAACCAUUGCUGUGGACAAGCUCAUUCACGUGUGUGAGACUUUAUUGUAAAGAUCUGUAAAGAUCCAUCUCUUUGCCUUUUUGGAGAUGGAGACAUUUUUCAACACAGGAGAGUGGGUGCAGUCCCCUGGCCAGCAUUUUUAGCACAGCAGAUGUUGCACACUGGUGGUUACUGGUCAGCUGCAGAAUUGUACAAAAAUCUGAAUUUCAUUUCUGGCCUUUUUUCAGCAUAAAGUAUGGCUACACAUUGACUACUAUGUAGAAAAUUAAAUGCAUUAAAGGUAAAACCAGCACAAAGGCAGAGAUAAGUUAGAAAUUUAAGAAUAGCUAAUGAUGUAGUAGGCUAAAAAUAUUUGCAUGAUGGGUCAUGAUUUUACAGGAUCAUUAACUGAAGUUUGUUUAGCAGAAUUUUACCAGUUUAUUUAAUAGCACUGUCUUGUAACAGCUUUAUGCUAUUAAUUCAGAAGACAGCUUAUUGGAAAUAUUCUUAUGGCCCUGUUACUGCCCUCAAACUAUUGCAUGUGUGUUUUAAACGAUUUGCAUCUUCCAUUACUCUGCACUCCAAAAUUAGGCUGAGUUCAGAAAGAAAGUGUGUCCUUUUCUGAGGUUCAUGAUUCAUCUAUUGGUUCAUGUAACUUCAAAAAGAUAGUUAUGACAUAAGAAUUACGUUUUUCCACAUCAAAGUGACCCAGUCAAAACUUCAGUUGAAAAUUUUUAUGAUAUCUACAGCCUAAUUUUUUAAAAGUACCCAAGAGAGUUUCGAUUACAAGGAGCUAUUUUUAAACAAGUAAACUGGCCAGCAAAUUUAUGAGGAUUUCUAAAUUUCUAAUAAAGUCAAGGAAGUGUAGAACAUAAGAGGAGUCUAAGUAUUAUUACAAUUUUCACUGGAUGAUGCAACUUCCACAUAAGUAUUAUUUUUUUGGUCCUGUGCUCGUCAAGGUUAAUUGUGAUAAGCCUCAAAGUAAAAAUGCCACAGAAUCAACAAUGUUAGCAUGACCUCUAGCAUUAUAGGAGGAAACUUUCUGGUAUUACAGUGCUGAAAAGCCUCAUUUGCAGAGGCUGGCAACUGUCUUACACAACAAUUUCAUUUAGUUGAUACAAUCAUGGCUUUGUAUAGCCAUUUACAUAAUGACAUUAUAGGUCUGUAAGAGAAACAGGAUUAUAUUAUCCCAUAACAAAGUUACUGAGGUUUUGAUAUAAAAUGAAGACUCCACUUUUACAUAUGAUUUUCAUGAGAACACUCUUUAAAGGAAAUGAUUUACCUACUAUCACACCGCUCUUUUUGAUGUCUUAAGUGGACCUGCAAAGCCUUGGCCUUUUCCUAAGUGUCUGCUGGUGAGAGGUGGCCAUUUCAUUCCAAAUCACCGCGGUAACAAACUCUUCUUUAACAUGAGUAGUUUGUCUUUUCUUCUGUGUGUAUAUAGAAGGUGAAACACAACAAAGUUGUGGCUUUGUCACACAUUCCUUUACAGGAGGAUUUGCUGAAUGUACACAGUAUGUGCAUGAGAGGAAGAUCUUUUACAAAUUCAGAAAGGAAUGAUGGGCAGUGAAUAGUGAUUGGGCAGUGGGAUGGUUCCUUUGCAAGGGGCAUGUGCUUCCUUGUAGUUGAUCUUUCCACAGUGGUGAGUACUCUGAUUGGAAAGGCUGCAUCAAUAACAGGAGAUUCACUUAAAAUGAAGAUGUUGCCUCAGAGUUUUGAAUUCUCAGUCAUAAAUCUUUGCCAGAAAUCUAAAUAGCUCUCUCAGUUUUCCAGAUCUGUUCAUUAUACAAAACCUCUUUGAUGACAGUACUAGCAAGAGAAAAUAAAUCCAAAUGCACUUGCAGAGUUGACUCCCUUUGCAGCCCAAAUAUGUGAGAUUAUAUCUGUUAUCUUCAUAAUUUUUUACUGUCUAGCCAUUUAUGAAAUGCUUACCCACUGAAGAUAUAAUAAUUUUCACUUAAAAUCUUGGUACUAGAUAUUUAGUUCGAGACCAGCUGUGACACUUAAGUAUUUCCUGCUUUGAUGAACCAGAUGAUGAAAUAAUCUAAUUAGUCUCCUCAUGAGAAGCAGUCAGAAGUAUGAUAGCUUUCCUAUUUAAAAAUCAAUAUAAAGGCAAGAUGGUAAAAUCUGGCAGGGCAUCUGUAACAUGAAUGCUUUAUUAUGAAGAAACAAAGGCUGCAUACAGAUUUGAUUACAGAAGAUUACUUAUCUUCCUUUGCAACAGCCAGGGAUUAGCAAGUAGUCCUUAUCCUUCUGCAUACUCUGUGUGUUGGUGAGAGAAGGGAGUAUGUGAAUAAGAUUUAGGGAUACAACUAUUAGUUUUCUUUCUCUGAGUGGGUACUAUAGGUGAUAAUUUCAUAUGCAAGACCUUUAUUCUUUCUUCCAUUUCUUUAUAGCAACAGCACACAUGGUGGUCCUCAAUUGGAAUGAACUUGUGCAUUUUCUUGGAAGCUAAUGAAAUGCUGCUAGAUUACACAAACAAAGCCUUUGCCUGACAGCUUCUGGUGUCCACUUUUUUCAUCCCUUCUGUGAAUUUCUCAGCUUAUUCAGACUAGAAAACAACAGAUAGCUCCCUAUAAGGCAGGCGUAGUAUUUUCUAAACCAUCUGUGACUAUUUUUUGACUCAUUUUUUCCAUGUAAUCCCAACAUUUUUACUCGCUGCAUCAGACAUAGCUCCCUCCCUGUCUUACAGGGGUAUCAAACCAAACUAUAAUUGACAGCUACAUGUGAUUUUAAUUAAUGCUUUACCUUGAAGGAACUGAGCUGCUGGUAGCAGCUGAGGGUGCACGAGUUCCUCAUCUUGUGAACGUUGCAGCCUCAUGUUAUAAUCCACAUCCUAAACCCACCUCCUUUAGAAAUGAACGACAGCUGCUCCUGAUAUCUAACAUUUUAAACUUCUUUUGUAUCUUUUAUUUACCCUUAGAAACAUCACGGACCACAAUUUUAGAAAUAUUGAGCUAAGUAUUGCUUCUAAGUCACAUGGUGUGUUGGAGUUGGGUAACACUGUCACCUGCAGACAUUCCCUUUUUUUCUGCUUGUUCGAGUAGAGCCCGCUCAUGUUGAGAUAUAAAUCUCUUUAGAUUGAAAAAGGCAAAUAAUGCAGGAGGCUUUCUAAAAGCAGCCAGAGCAUUUAUCUUUUUCAGUUACAAGUAUUCCAUCUCUCUGCAGCAGAGCUCUAUGUCUGGGGAGAGCUUAAUAUCAGAUACAGUUUUCCCACUGGAUGGGGAUCUUUAAUGUAUCACUUGUGAGUAGUAACUCUCUUUGCUGACAUUUACAGUUGCUGUUGAUAUUUCUUACCUCUUAAUGUUUUCAGACACUGAGCCUUCCAGGAGGGCCUAAGCCGACUCAGGCUGGGGCGCAUUUGCCUCCUCUGGGAAGCUGUUUUGCAGUUUUGAAUAUCUCAGCUAUUCAUAAAAAGGCAAUGUGACUUUGCUAGCCCUCCAGAGUACAUCUGUCUCACUGACUCACCGCAGAGACGCUGAAAACAAAUAUACUUGCCAGUCCUGAAAGCGGUGCCUGGCUUGUUGGCUUUUUCAUGCAGUUGGAAGAACACAGCCAGGCUUUCUCAGGAAGGGCUUUGGGCAGACAGGUCAAGAUGGCAGAGGCACCCAGCCAGGAUGGUAGCUCAAUGGGAUCGAGAGCUGGACUGCUGCAUCAUCUGGUUCAUUAGAGGAUGAAGCACUUAAUUGUCACAGCUGGUGUCAUAGUGAAUCUCUGGCACUUUGGAGAAGAAAGAGUUAUUGAGUAUGAACAACAUGAGCUCUAGGAAGAGACAACUGGUAGCAUGCAAUGAAGGAGCUUUUAAGAGGAUGUGCAAGAUAAGAGUAAGAAGUCUACAUAAUGUCGGAAUUCCAAAAUAACGGGUCGGUAUAAAGCUUAGGAUUCCAGGUGAAAACUUGUAAUGCAUGCCAAGCUUGUAUUAAAAAGGUAGUCUCCAGUACUAACCUUUAAAAUAUUUAUUGAACUUUUCACUUGAAAUUUUGACCUAUGAUGAAGAUUAUCUUUAGUUUGAGAGGCCUGAGCUAAUUUCUGAGUUAUUUUCUCUUCCCGGGUUUUGUUUGCAGUAUGCCUAGCUGAGCAUGAUGCAAACUACUUAGCUAUGUAUAAUAUCAGAAAGGCAGCUCAGGCCUUCAGCUGUUGUCUUUAAAGAACCAUAAUUUACAUGCUUAGUAAGAGGCUGAGAGUCAUGUGUCACUUAUCUGGCUUGUUUACUCCAUCCUUGGGAGCAUGAUUGUAGGUGGAGAAUGGAAAUGGAGAGUUCAGAACCAGAUGAGAAAAAGCAGUGAUGAUUUCAAAGCACUGAAAUGAAGGAUAAUAUCUCAAAUAUUGUCAUGGUCACUUGUUUUACCCAGCAUGUUCUUCUAAAACUCCUUUGCUGUGGCAGAGGUGGCUGUUAACUGAAGAAAAGCAGCAAAUACUGCAAACCACUGAGGGUGGCACUAGAGCCCUAUCCCUGUAUUCUCCUCCCCAGAAAGCUAAUAAAGAACAUCAAAAAUAGAUGUUAUCAGGCCAUCAAGAAUUAACAACAUGCAGCAGAUGGUAACACCUACCCUUUGCUAUAUACCUAAUUUUAGCCCAGACUAUUUACCAGCAAGUUGUGGCAAAGGUUGAGGAAUCCAGUGCAGAGGAGCGGGAAGUGAGUAGAGGCAGGAGGGAGCAGAAAGGUUUUCUCUCACUUCUGGCCCUCUUUCAGUUUAUCAUUUUAAUCAGUGCCUUUGCACACUACUAUAACCCUCAGUGAAAUGAAUGAAAGUGUUUCCUUCAGCCUCAAACUAUCAACUAGUAAACUGUCAGUUGAAAUCUAUGACAGGCCCAAAAAACUGGAGCUAUGUUUCAUGGCUGAAAUUGAACUGUCUUCCUGAAGGUGUUAUCAUGGGAAAUGCAAUUACAUUAUGCAGUGUGUGUGUGUGUAGGGUGGGCUUAUGGAUACACAUACAUAUUUUCACUCAUCAUGUGAACUCAUCCUUACCUCCUUGCUCUAUUGGCUUUCCUUUCCUGACACUAGCCACAGUGUGAUUUAGGACAGUGCAUUGGUGCACUUUGGAUCUGUCAUUCUUGUGAUGGACUAUCUAGACUGAGACCAUAUUUUCACCACAGGCUUAACUCAGGCUCCCACCUACAUUUUAGUAAAAAUCUCUCUGUCAGCAGCACACUUAAACUUUUCACCUGUGCUUAUGUGAGCUCUGAACAGAUCUUUGCUGGCCCAGUGAAGGGCACAGUCUAAAGUUAAGGUCGCUGCUGAAGGGUGGCCCAAUUCAGCAAUGCAGCCUGUUCAGUGCAGGGAAUGGCUGAAAAGUGUUGGGCAAGAAAGAAAGUAAGAGGUCAGGAUUUCUCUGCCUGGAAUGAAGGAUGCCACAGUCAGGGUUAGCAGACCCUGCACCAGAUGUGUUUGAUAGCAGGUGGUCUAGUUUCUCAGAUGGGAGGAGAAGCAGGUGUCGCUGCUGGAAGUGUCCACCCCAGAUGCUGCAGCCCCCCAGCGAGGGACAACUGGCAUUUAGCAGCCUUAUGUCUGUGCCCCAUCCUGUCACUGUUCACCAAGAGCAGACCACACCAGCUUUGCAAGAGGCUUGGCUCAUGGGUGUGCACUCUCAUAUCCUACAGUGCACAGCUCUUGCCUUGAUGCAGAACAAGGGGCUGACUGGAUUCUCUGUCCCAGCCUGUACCCUUUGAUGUGGAUUUUUUUGCUCAGUCCUUGCUAGGUCUUUUGGUCAUAGGCUUAAAUUUACUCAUGAGUCCAUACUGUGAAGAUGCAGGGGGGGUCUGCAGAUCAGAAGAGACCUGAAAAUUUUUGAAAGAGGAUGUUAGCAACAGAAGAAUUUUCCCCAAAGCACUGGCAAACUGCUCUGCCUUUGAGAGGGUCGUGUAUAGAUUUAAUUUAUUUUUGUUAAAUUGCCAUAUCACCAGCUGUGUUUCCUAGUGGGAAGUUCCAUACACAAGAUGUUUAAAAUGUUCUUCUGCUGUGGAUGCUUCGUCUAAACAGCAGUUCAGUGAGAGACAAACUGCUCUGAGUUGUGCAAGUGAAUAAAAAUUACUUGGAUCCUUGGUUCUGAUCUACUGACUAACUGCUGUGAGUUUUCUGUAUUUUGUGCCUGGUUUGAAGUGCCUGAAAGUUAUUGGGGUUUAUAUUUAUUAUUUAACAGACUUUUCCUGGGAAGACAGCUCUGGCCUCUCUCCGCUAUGUUUUUCAAGAAUAAAAAGCUCACAGACCUAUUCAUUUUGAAAGUUAUAUUAAUGGAAAAAGGACUGUUGAAUUUCUUUAAGGAAUCAGAUUUCUUUAUAGAACUGCUGCCAAUUUCAGAGGUACAAGCAUUAAAUUUGUGUAUGGGAUGCAAAUUGCUUUCUGUGAGUAGUUGAAAUGUGACAUGAUAAUUGUAUUAGUUAGGUAAAGUUUAAUUUUUUACCCCUGACUGAACGUAGUAGCACUGGUCAUUACAAAGUAUGCAAGAAACCCAGUGAUGCCAUUGAUUCUUACAUAAAUGCUAACCUAUGUGAGCAUUUAAUAAGGACAGAUGAUUAAUAAGAUAAAAUAACUUUGUAUCCCAGGAUUCCCAUAGCUUCAAUAUCUCUUCAGCUUGCAUUUCCAGAACACCAAACAAAAUGUGUUGCUGGGAAAAUACAGCUGUUACAAUGGAGCACCUUUUUUUCUUGUUAGCUAGUACAAAUAGUAGAGAAAGAAACCCUAACUUUAAGGUUCCUUAUUCCCAUACGCCUUUACUUAGGAUCUCAAGAAGUUGAUAAAUUCUGAUAAAUGCUAUUUAAAAACAAAAAACCAGAGAACAUUUGGUAUUUGACUACAUAGCAAACAAAGAUGCAUUUUUGCCUUUAUCCAGGUGACUACACUGUCUUUGGGCAAUGAGCAGUGAGCCAGAGUCUGAUUUGCUUCCUCAGCUGCCUUAAAAACAGACUUUCUAGCACUAAUGGUGUUGCAAUUAAACUUUCAGAGGACUCAUUCAACUUUAAAGUUUGAAUAUCUUGACACACAAGAGGCAAACACCCUUUCACUGAAGGGCUUUAUUCUGCAGCAUGCUCAGGAACUCGCUGCAGCCUUGAGUUAAUUGAAUGCAGUCUACAAGAGAAGUGUCAUGUGGCAUCCAGACACAAUACAAUAUAUUCAAGUGUUUGUCCAUAUGUAAGUAGUUAAUUGAUUGUGUUGCUAUGAAGCACAAUUCAAGGUUAUUGUAUUAUCUUUAGCACAAAGCUGAACAAUUGCAGAAUCAUACGGGUUGCAAAAUACAUUUAAGGGCAAGGUAGGCAAAGCUACUAUGUUGGGAAUGACAAUGAAUUAUUUUUCCUUUCUUUAUCUUACUGUACCCUUCACAGCUCAGGGAUGUCAUCUGGUGCUUGGUAAAAUCCUACUUCUAUUUAGAUUUUCUGCUGGGAGAAUUGAUGUUAAAAGAGAUUGUGUGUGGUUUCCAAGGGCAUGCAUUCAUGUUAAAUAUGGUUUACAUUUGGAGUCUUGAUAAUUGACCAGUCCCAAUCAUUCAUGUAUCAUGCUUUCAGCCUCUCAAUAAUGUGUAGAUGUUAAAAAAGGCAUACAAAAAUCCCAUACAGGGCUUAGCCUAUCUGUCCUCUCUUUCUAAACCUUUUAAGCACUUUUCUACAUGACCAUGAAGUCCAGAAACUUACAUAAAAGCUGAAAUUUUCCUGGAAAUCUUUAUUCAGAGGAAUGGGGAAGUGCUGGUAUUUCCAGAAUUUUAAUGAGAUUGUGAAAGUUUGAUUCCCUUUUUUCUUCUAUCCAAGCAUCCAUCUGGGCCUUGUGAAGAUCAUGUGAAGACAGAUUUGAAAGUAACACUACAUCUUACAUUCCCUUUCUUUAAGUCACAAAACUCCACAAGAAUCCCAUAGCAAAUUGGAAGGGUCUUGCUGAGCUAGAAAUACUGCAUUUUUGGGUUGGAUUCCUAUUUUUCCUCCUGUUCACCAGCAAUGCAGCUGCACUAAAUGAGGAACAACCUGGGGCAGCAGGAAGAGGGAGACAGGACCACAGGCGUGUGGAUACUCCACCAACCUCUGUCACCUUUGUGGUACAGUGGUGAGGAGGAAGUGAAGGGAUCAAAGGGAAGAUUUUUCUGUGUUUAUGAAAAAGCUAAACCUCAUUAAAAGCAUAUGGCAUUUCUAGUAGCCAAGCACAUGGCACAAGCUUUCUUUACCCUCAUUCCUGUGCAAGCACAGAUAUGCUUCAAAAUGUGCCAUUUUUGUGUGUGUGUGUGUUUAGCUGGCAGAAAUGACAUAAUGUAAUUUUCACAAUUGUAGUUAUAACUGAAAAUGAUGAGGUAGCUACAAAUAUUGUCAUCCAGUACUUGGCAUCUUAAUCCCUUGCUAUUUAAGGCAGACAAAAAUGUUUGUGAAAUGUCUCAAAUAGCCUUAUUUUUAACAAGUGACAGGAUGAAACUAGAACAUAAUGGCCAGGAGCUUUUUAGCAAAUUAAAUAGUAUUAUGUUCUUAGUAUGAGUGUUAGAUAGGAAAUACUUCCCAGGAACAACUAUUUGAGGGUAUUCCAUUGGGGAAGUAAAAUUAUUGUGAAUUUUAAGUUGCUUUGUGAAAGGAAUUUCCAUGCAGAAGUAUUUAGAUUACCUAUCUAUUCAUUAGGUGUGGUCUGUCUGUAUGGAACAGAAUGUAUAUAUAUUCCUUUCUGCAUAAAACAGAAUGAAAUGCCUUCUGCAUAUUCAGUUAUGGAGCCUGUGUCAGCCAAUCUCCUUGAGACUGCCAAUGCCAUGGUUUCCUCAAUGCAUUAAAAAAGAAUACACAUUGCAUGCUAUUGCAUGCGUUCUUAGAUUUCUCCUUUGAAUUUAACAGGAAGUUAUGGGCUUUCACAUCAGUGCUGAGACCUUAAAGCACUGUACACAUGCUAACAAAUGCCUCAGACCUAAUGAGACAGGAAAUUGAGAAGCUGAAACGGAAUAAUAAAGGAAGAAAAAUAUUGAUGCUUGCAUGAUCCUGGAAAAUGACUGUUAUGUUCUAUUACAGAAAUUAAAAUAAGUUUGGCAAGGAUUUACUACUGAAGAAAAGCACGCAUGGGACUAAACCUAGGGUAAAAGAGCAAAACCAAAACAUCCUGUCAAACAAAAAGCCUUUAGAAGAGAAGAGACACUAAUCAAGAUACAAAUUGAGUUUUAAAAAUAUUUUUAAUUAAAGUGUUUCAUUUAAUAUGGACAAUAAUACAAGAGAAUUAUAUCUGGACUUCAAGGCGGGUUGACUACCUGUAGGAGAGCUUCUACAGGCUGGUUAAGGGGUUAUGAUUUAUAUUAUCAAAAAUUAACACACCUAUAAAGAUUUUUAUCUGUUAGCAGUUUUGAGAAUGCAUCUACCAUUUUGGUGCCUAAACAUAAUUUCCUCUUUUUAUUUGGUUUGAAAAACAACCACCAAGGACCUGCAGAAAGUUCCCAUUUUUUAAGGGUGUUCUGGUCCAAACUGUUUGACACAGCCACCUGCAGUAAUUGCCUGGCCUGGCUCUUCAUUAACCAUUUGUUGAAUUUUGUUUCCAUGACAACUUCCUAUAUAAUACUAUCACAGAAACUCAGUAGAACUCAGACAUCAAGUUAAAGCGCCUAAAUGUUUCUCUGAGUUGCAUCUCUUGUUUCCUUGGCAACUUCCUCUCAAGUCACCCUAGGAUAUUUCAAGGCACCCAAGACAAAUUUCAUUGCAUUGAUCUUUUUAAUGAAUUUACACUGACCUGCAGUAUACACAUUGUACCAAACUUAAAAUAUUAGAUGACAGAAUCUUUAUUGAUUUCAUUCAAAUGCUGCUUCUCAGCUGAAAUCCAAUUACCUUGCCCCAGUACGUACAUUUUCCCCAUUAAGGCUGCAAAAACAAUGCUGUAAGGUGCUAUCUAUAUGUAUGCAGACCAAUAUGAAGAUUAAAAACAACUUUGCAUACCAAGUGCAAUAUUUCUGACAGAAACAAGGGCACGUUUUUGCUGCUCUGGAGUAAUGUGUGAUUAUUAAAAUAACUUCUAAUGAGAAAAGGUAAAUGCAGAGGAAAUCUCAAGAGGCAUUGGCACUCGCGUUCUUUUUGGUACAUUGCAGCAGCAGUUAAAGAAACCAUAGCACAAAAAAAUAAUUCCAGGUGCUAAAUCCCAUCCUUCAGCCCCAAAGAAAAAAACAGCUAACACUGAUUCCAUGCUGGUCACGAAAGUUGGUGACUCAGUAGGUCUUCCCUAAUUCUGCACAUGCUUUUCCUAUCUUGGAGCAGUGUAAGAGGCUGAAACACACAAGGUGAGUCUUCUGUUUUAACUCCAGUCCCUUCCUUCAAAGUCCCCUAAGGAAAGAAUGGGCAGUUCUGAGCAAAUAUUUAGCUGUAAAUGUUGUUUACAGUGGGUAAACAGCAUUUUCAUCUCCCACUUUUUUCCUUUCACAUUGAUUGGUCCCACAGCCUAAGGAAGUGAAACCAAGAUCUGUCAUAUAUGAAUGGAAAAGUGGAAAUCAGAUCAGACCCUGAAAAUUAUUCUCUUCUGGAGAAAAGAAAGGACUGAAAAUCUAAGAUCCUCACACCAGAAUCUUAUCCUCACCUGCAUUAUUGAAUCCUACUACACUUGGUUUCCCUAGUGUAAACCCAUAUCCUAUUAUUUCUAAAUAUGGCCCACCUUCUUACAUUGGCAUCUGUUUUUUGCUGACCUCAACCCUACUUUAGCAUCUUCCCAUACUUCUCAUAGCUUUCUUUUACCAGGUUUACUGAGUAUGCUUCGCUCUAAAGUAAAACCAUAACCAACCACAGACAGCACACUGGCUUCCUCACAAGGGUGCAGUAGCCCUUCUUACAUGGCAAGGGCCACUUCCUCCUCUGACCACGUGUUACGGACAUGACUUGGCUCAAGCAAGAGCAGUUUCUGAGUGUCAGUCCGAAUCUGAGGUUUUAAUCUGAGCCAGUUGACCUUCCCCAGGAAAGAGGUCUGGGGUGAUCUCUUUUGGUGAAGACCCUUUAAGUCUUGAUCCAGCCUUGUGCAUGUGAGAUCCAAAGGAAGGGAAGAAGCAGUGGAGGACAAGGACCAUAUUUUCACUGCCGCGCAAAUUGGUUGUCACGACAUCAACACAAGAGUAUUUGUUUAAAAGAAAUAGAAUUUCUGCUGACAAAGAGAUGAAUGAAGGAUGUUUGAAGAGAGGAAAGUGAGAUUUUACUGUUUUGAAGUUAAGCUCAAUGCUUAGGAGCAACCUGAGAGGAAAUUAACUACUUUAAGCUCUCAUAAAACCUAAAAUAGGGAGCCUUGUAGCACAUUAAUGCUAAUUGACAGGUGUGCAACACUUGAAUAUAGAGAUUUGAGAUGUACACUUAUCUACAAAAACUAGGCAGCAAUGGCUUCAUAAGAGGAGAUGAUUGAUUCAUAUCUUUAAAAAAAAAUAGUGAGCUGUUUGUCUGAGCUGGAGAGAUCAUCCCUCUACUGAGUGUCUGCUGCUUUCUUACUUUUGCCUGGCAGGAAGUGAUCCUUUGAAGACAUAACGACUUGUCUAAUUUUCUGCAUGUUAGAAGUCUCAUUAAGUAUAAUAAAUUAUUAAUUCCAAAGAGAUUAUGGUGAGAGAAUUUGUUGGAUCAGAGCUACUAGUGUUAAGCCCUUCUGUAAAAUACCAGUUUAUUGGGACCUCAGCCUAGAUAGCAUGGUAGAUUUGGGUAGGAUAAAUAAUAACAUUUAUAUGGACCAAAUUAUAUGAUGUAUGUGUAAUUUCAGGCAAACCUAAAGUGCUGGGCAAUUUGAAUGCUAUUAAACCUCCUUCUCUCUUGAUAAAUUAUGUAUUUUUGAAAAAGAAUUGUACAUACUCUUUUCAAAUUUCAAAUGCAAUUCAUAGUGUUUUGUAGAUGACUUGCACUGCUAAGACUUGCUGUUAUGCAGAAUGAACUUUAAUUAAGAUUUUAAUGGGUGUCUUAUGUCAACAUUCGUGGUUGUAUUAUGCUGUUUUAGCCUAGUGGUAAAAUACUGAUAUUAAAUUUUUAGUAGAAACUGUUCUUUGAAAGUAUAUUUUGUUCUUGCUUUUCUCAGACUAAUUGUUCUUUGAUGCACAAAUAUUUUAACUUUAUUUAGGUGGGAGUAUCAAUGCACGAUAGAGUGUGAUGCCUGGAAGAGAUUAAGACUAAAUUCAGAAAAGACUGUGGAAGUCUUUCCAGUGGUUUCAGUUGGUUUUGGAUCAUAUUGAAGCAAACGUUUUCAGAUACUUCUCUUCAGUUCCAUACUGACACUCGUGUAAUGACCGGUUCUUAGUAAGAUAAGGUAUUUUCUUUAUCAAAAUAUAUGAUGCCAGCUUGUAUCAUUAGAACGAAGAUUUUCUUGAAUGAGAUCAUCCAUUUGUUUUGUCACAGUCUAGCUCUGAGCAAGCAAUGCAAAUAUAUGUGUGUUUGAAAUAAAGGAUGUUUGUUGUA